rnacentral:rRNA from 1 species
UACGAAGGGGGCUAGCGUUGCUCGGAAUUACUGGGCGUAAAGGGCGCGUAGGCGGGCAUGUAAGUCGGGCGUGAAAUCCCCAGGCUCAACCUGGGAACUGCACUCGAAACUGCGUUUCUUGAGUAUCGGAGAGGAAAGCGGAAUUCCUGGUGUAGAGGUGAAAUUCGUAGAUAUCAGGAGGAACACCAGUGGCGAAGGCGGCUUUCUGGACCGACACUGACACUGAGGAGCGAAAGCCAGGGGAGCAAACGGG